UCCCUUGUAGCUUAGAUGGUAAAGCGUCUGCCUACAAUGCAGGAGACUCAGGUUUGAUCCCUGGGUCAGGAA
rnacentral:tRNA from 1 species